rnacentral:tRNA from 1 species
AAUUAGUUAAAAUAUAACAUAAAUAUGUCAAAUUUAAAUUAUUAAUACAUUAAUAUUCUUUU